rnacentral:lncRNA from 1 species
UCUUUAUUUUUAUUAUUAUUAAAUAAUAAAACGAGGCGACUAAUUCUCGCCAUAGAAAUCACAAAAUUCCGACCUGAAACGGCGACGCCGUCGCGCGGCGCUUCCCAAUCGACGACUCCUCUGCCGAUUUCCUGAUUAUUAUUUUUUUUUCUUCGUCGUCGUCGUCGUCGUCGUCGUCGCCGCCUUCGCCGCCUUCGAUUCGAACGAGCUCUAGGAGAGCAAUGGAAUCGUAGGGUGGGAGCAGGGAUUGUGUUGGCGAGUGGAGUGGUAAUUUGCUGCCCCCGCCCCACGGCGGGCGGUUGGUGGGGGUGGGGAGGAUUUCUAAUCCCAUUUCGAUGGCUCGAUCGGCGGCUUAAUUGCGAAUUUCGUGAGUUGUUAAGCGAUUUCCCCUUUUUUUGUUCCAUCUUUUUGUGUAUUUUUUGGUUUUGGAUUCUAGGGUUCUCGAUUCCUUCUCGUCUGCGCGAGGGAGAAAAGGUUGCGGCAAUUGUAAUCUCUUUUGCUGAUGUUGGUGGUGGUGUCUCUCUUUUUGGCUUUGCCCACAGAAAUCGCGGUGAAUUUCUCGUGGACUCCGGAGGCGGCGCCGGCGGCGGAGGAGGAGGCGGGGUGAAGGGCGUGGACCGGCCACCGUAGCGCGGAUGCAGUACCACUACCGCAGCAGGCUGCCC